UACACGUGUUUGUCGUUAGCCGUCAAAAAAAGUGAUCGCGGCAGUUGAAGCAGGUGAAAAAAAAAAGAUGUUGCUCUACGUUUUGGUAUCCCAGCUUCUACGCUUUCAACGAUACUUAAAUAAAAGGGCCAUCUUAAACAUUAACACCUUUCUAAUCGAGGACGAGACAGAAAAAAUGAUAAAAGUAUACUAAAGAAUCAAAAGGCCUGACGAUGCACCGUGGAAUGAAUCAAUAAUCAAGCAAAAAACAUGAUAUAAGUGAAUGUUAAAUAAACUUACUUGGACGUUGAA